CUUUACUAUAGCUUGACACUGAACAUUGAGCCUUGAUGUGUAGGAUAGGUGGGAGGCUUUGAAGUGUGGACGCCAGUCUGCAUGGAGCCGACCUUGAAAUACCACCCUUUAAUGUUUGAUGUUCUAACGUGGACCCGUAAUCCGGGUUGCGGACAGUGUCUGGUGGGUAGUUUGACUGGGGCGGUCUCCUCCUAAAGAGUAACGGAGGAGCACGAAGGUUGGCUAAUCCUGGUCGGACAUCAGGAGGUUAGUGCAAUGGCAUAAGCCAGCUUGACUGCGAGCGUGACGGCGCGAGCAGGUGCGAAAGCAGGUCAUAGUGAUCCGGUGGUUCUGAAUGGAAGGGCCAUCGCUCAACGGAUAAAAGGUACUCCGGGGAUAACAGGCUGAUACCGCCCAAGAGUUCAUAUCGACGGCGGUGUUUGGCACCUCGAUGUCGGCUCAUCACAUCCUGGGGCUGAAGUAGGUCCCAAGGGUAUGGCUGUUCGCCAUUUAAAGUGGUACGCGAGCUGGGUUUAGAACGUCGUGAGACAGUUCGGUCCCUAUCUGCCGUGGGCGCUGGAGAACUGAGGGGGGCUGCUCCUAGUACGAGAGGACCGGAGUGGACGCAUCACUGGUGUUCGGGUUGUCAUGCCAAUGGCACUGCCCGGUAGCUAAAUGCGGAAGAGAUAAGUGCUGAAAGCAUCUAAGCACGAAACUUGCCCCGA
rnacentral:rRNA from 3 species